CUUCUUAUCUUUUUCACGUUAGUUAAUCUCAAGAAAUUGAUUGACACUCUUCUUCUCUUCUUCACAUUAAUUUGUGAUUUAUAUGGCAACACUUUAGCUUUUAGGUACUUGGAACGAAGUCGUGAAUACGAUAAGUGUUUUAGGUCUUGCAAAUAAGAAGAAAACAAGAAAUAAACAACACCGAAAAGUUUUCCAUCAAACAAUUAGUACAUCGAAUGGAAAGUUGGUGAAAAGUAGGCUCUAUCCAGUCAAUUGCUUCUGCAGGACCAGGGCUGAAGCAUGUUCGAAGCUAAGCCAGAUGGAAUCGGAAAAUUUGGAAUUCGAAGUCGAUGAGGCUUGUUUGUUUAAACUGUUCUCAAGUAUAUGACAGAUGAAACAGAGAGUCAGAGACGAUGAUAGCAUCACACCAAUAGUAGUUUUUGUAUAGGUUGAUACAUGGAAUCAGACGGAUCCAUAGAG